rnacentral:rRNA from 1 species
CGAGGGGCAGCAUAAUGGAUAGCAAUAUCUAUGGUGGCGACCGGCGCACGGGUGCGUAACGCGUAUGCAACCUACCUUUAACAGGGGGAUAACACUGAGAAAUUGGUACUAAUACCCCAUAAUAUCAUAGAAGGCAUCUUUUAUGGUUGAAAAUUCCGAUGGUUAGAGAUGGGCAUGCGUUGUAUUAGCUAGUUGGUGGGGUAACGGCUCACCAAGGCGACGAUACAUAGGGGGACUGAGAGGUUAACCCCCCACACUGGUACUGAGACACGGACCAGACUCCUACGGGAGGCAGCAGUGAGGAAUAUUGGUCAAUGGACGCAAGUCUGAACCAGCCAUGCCGCGUGCAGGAUGACGGCUCUAUGAGUUGUAAACUGCUUUUGUACGAGGGUAAACGCAGAUACGUGUAUCUGUCUGAAAGUAUCGUACGAAUAAGGAUCGGCUAACUCCGUGCCAGCAGCCGCGGUAAUACGGAGGAUUCAAGCGUUAUCCGGAUUUAUUGGGUUUAAAGGGUGCGUAGGCGGUUUGAUAAGUUAGAGGUGAAAUUUCGGGGCUCAACCCUGAACGUGCCUCUAAUACUGUUGAGCUAGAGAGUAGUUGCGGUAGGCGGAAUGUAUGGUGUAGCGGUGAAAUGCUUAGAGAUCAUACAGAACACCGAU